CUUCACUCUCUCUUCUCUCUGUCUUUCUCCAUCCCCCCUCUCGGUCCGACAAGAACACACACACACACACCCAAGCCCACACCUAUAGCUCUUUUCGAACCCCAUGGUUGUGUUUUGGACGUCAAAUCACGAAGAAACCACCUCGGAGACAUUUCCCAGUUUUCCAGCGAGCACCGUCCCUUUCGAGGCGAUUUCCGGCCAAACCACGGCGAGUUGGCCGGCGUGCGAGUUUCCGGCGAUCUCAGUGACUUUCGAGGUGUUUUCCAGCCAAACCACGGCGAGUUAGACGUCGUGUGAGGGGCAAUUAUCGAUGGCGUUUCCUUCUUCGCUAGAUGACGU